UACGAAGGGUGCAAGCGUUAAUCGGAAUUACUGGGCGUAAAGCGCACGUAGGCGGAUAUUUAAGUCAGGGUGAAAUCCCGGGCUCAACCCCGGAACCUGCCUUUGAUACUGGAUAUCUUGAGUUCGGAAGAGGUAAGUGGAAUUGCGAGUGUAGAGGUGAAAUUCGUAGAUAUUCGCAGGAGCACCAGUGGCGAAGGCGGCUUACUGGUCCGAUACUGACGCUGAGGUGCGAAAGCGUGGGGAGCAAACAGG
rnacentral:rRNA from 1 species